GCGGACGAUGCCAAGUCCAGCAGAGCUUGCGCUCGGGGCUAGAAGAGAGACUGAGUCUCCCUUCUCAGUUUCAUUAGGUAAUGGGCGACAUGGCUCCGUCUCCACAGCGGGGCUUUGCUGAGCUUAGCACGCAGUCUCCCGGCGGGGAGGAGGCGCGCAGUGCCGGGCGCCACUCCGUCUCCAGUACGCGUUAGGCCCGCGUUCCCAGGUGCCCGUCUGGCCGCUGGACUGUUGGCCUUUCCGGAGCGAGUUUUACUUUAGGAAGAAGCCCGGGAUCCCGGUAGUUUAGCCUGAAGAAACGUGGGGCAGAUGCUGGGCAGGGCGGGGAUACCGCGCCAACACCCGCUGCCCAGCGGUCGCCCUCCUAUGCAGCGGCGAAGGGACGCCCGCUGUGUCUCCGCCCUGCCCCCAGGCGCCCCAGUGGCUGGAGGUGGCAUUCUCCACUGGACGGGCGCGCCUCAAUCCGGGGGACUUCCACAGUGCUGUUCCCGAGGACUACGCGUCUCAACUCUUUGUCGGGUUCCCUCCCUCCCACUGCCAGUCUGUCUUCACCGCCGCGCAGACCUGGGGCCGCCCUUCACAGAGGAAGGGCUCCUUGACCUCAGCCACCGUGACCCCCUCCUUUGUGUCACAUUCUCAGAGAGUUGGAGGGAUUAUGCGUCAUCGUAAACAGGGGGACAGAGCGCCUUCCACCUGCGGCGCAUCCAUUAAGUUCCAGUUACCCUCGAGAGGAUUGUUUUUUCCACGAAACCCAGAUGCAAUGAGAGCCUGGCUUGUACCAUCUCUAAGCAUCGAGGCUUCCCCCUCGUCUGGGUGGUGGCCUUCGGGCAGUGGCUCCGGAAAGGCCAUCAAGGCUUCCCCGUCGUCUGGAUGGUGGCCUUCGGGCAGUGGACUGUGUCCAUAGCUGAAAACCAGACUUGACAGUUCUGGAUUCAGGCUGUUGUGGGAGCGGGAAGGUCAAACACCCAGAAGGAACUGAUGAAUGUGAAUUUCCCUCUAAGAACUGCUUUGCCUGGCCGGGCGCGGUGGCUCACGCUUGUAAUUCCAGCACUUUGGGAGGCUGAGGUGGGUGGAUGCCGAGGUGAGUGGAUCACGAGGUCAGGAGUUCGAGACCAGCCUGACCAACAUAGUGAAACCCCCGUCUCUACUAAAAAUACAAAAAUUAGCCGGGCCUGGUGGCGUGCGCCUGUAAUCCCAGCUACUCGGGAGGCUGAGACAGGAGAAUCGCUUGAAUCCGGGAGGCAGAGGUUGCAGGAGCUGAGAUCACGCCAUUGCACUCCAGCCUGGGCAACAGAGUGAGACUCCAUCUC
rnacentral:lncRNA from 10 species